rnacentral:rRNA from 1 species
AGCUUGCUCCCUGAUGUUAGCGGCGGACGGGUGAGUAACACGUGGGUAACCUGCCUGUAAGACUGGGAUAACUCCGGGAAACCGGGGCUAAUACCGGAUGCUUGUUUGAACCGCAUGGUUCAAACAUAAAAGGUGGCUUCGGCUACCACUUACAGAUGGACCCGCGGCGCAUUAGCUAGUUGGUGAGGUAAUGGCUCACCAAGGCAACGAUGCGUAGCCGACCUGAGAGGGUGAUCGGCCACACUGGGACUGAGACACGGCCCAGACUCCUACGGGAGGCAGCAGUAGGGAAUCUUCCGCAAUGGACGAAAGUCUGACGGAGCAACGCCGCGUGAGUGAUGAAGGUUUUCGGAUCGUAAAGCUCUGUUGUUAGGGAAGAACAAGUGCCGUUCAAAUAGGGCGGCACCUUGACGGUACCUAACCAGAAAGCCACGGCUAACUACGUGCCAGCAGCCGCGGUAAUACGUAGGUGGCAAGCGUUGUCCGGAAUUAUUGGGCGUAAAGGGCUCGCAGGCGGUUUCUUAAGUCUGAUGUGAAAGCCCCCGGCUCAACCGGGGAGGGUCAUUGGAAACUGGGGAACUUGAGUGCAGAAGAGGAGAGUGGAAUUCCACGUGUAGCGGUGAAAUGCGUAGAGAUGUGGAGGAACACCAGUGGCGAAGGCGACUCUCUGGUCU